rnacentral:rRNA from 1 species
CACGUAGGCACCAAGCGUUGUCCGGAUUUAUAGGGCGUAAAGAGCUCGUAGGCGGUUCAGUAAGUCGGGUGUGAAAACUCUGGGCUCAACCCAGAGACGCCACCCGAUACUGCUGUGACUUGAGUACGGUAGGGGAGUGGGGAAUUCCUGGUGUAGCGGUGAAAUGCGCAGAUAUCAGGAGGAACACCAGUGGCGAAGGCGCCACUCUGGGCCGUAACUGACGCUGAGGAGCGAAAGCGUGGGGAGCGAACAGG